rnacentral:lncRNA from 1 species
UGCAAAUCUCUCCCUCAUUUUUCACUUUAAAAAAGGAACUUCCUCAUCUAACAAGAGGUCUUCUCAUUUACUGCAUUCCUCCUCUCACACUUCAAGCCGCAGACAACACCUACACCAACAUAAAUCUUCCUCUCUCAUUCUCCAAACAACAAGAACUCAUAAUAACACUUAACCACCUUCAUCACCAUACAAAAAAAAACUUGCUGGAAAACCUUCCACUUUUACCACCGUCUCAUAUGUUCUUCUUCCUGAACAUUUUUUUUAUCUCUGAAAAUGUAAACCACAAACCAAGUUUCAUCACCUUAUUAAAACACUCUCGUAUACACACUUUCAACCUUCCAUUUUUCACCUCUUAUCAACAUACAAAGCUGCUACGAUCCCAACCAUCUAUUCAUAGAAAAAAAAUCGUGACCUAUGUUCAACACCAUCAUGUGAACAAACUCCGACAACUCCUCCAUAACCAUCCUUCAAAAACUUCCCAUAACUACUUUCCCUUCGUAACUCUCUUUGGAAAAGAAGAACUUGCAUGUUCUUUACUAACUCACUAAAUCUACACUUUUCAUACUCACAAAAAACUAAACAAUAACCUUACUCCAUCAUGCUCAAACUUACGCCACCGUCCGUCUCCUUCACAUAUCCGAUCGUUUUCAUCUUCCUUCGGUAACUCUUCUCAUCGUUUUUCUUUGUUUGCUUUUGAUUUUGUUUAUGUUGCAAAUAUUUUUUUAGUGAACCAUGGAAGAUGGGAGAUGUUGUUAUGUUGAGAGAAAUAAAACGAUAAGCGUUGAGACAAGAGAGGGAAAGGAAUUCUAAUUUUUAUUUUUUUUCUCAUUUCAUAUACUGUUUUGUUUAUUUGUUUAAAUUAUAUGCUAUGUAUCAUUUAGGCAUUGAUUUUGCUUUUGAUUUUGAAAAGGUCAACAACUUAUUUAUUAAUAUUGCUAUUAUAUAUAAUAUUAUUA